AGGUACGAUCGAACAUGGUGAUAUCUCGAAGAAUCAGAGGAAAGCGACGAAGAAGGGAUAAGGAGGGAGCCUCAGUCUGGCUUGGAAGCACUCUUCAUAGAGGCUAAUCCGUCCUAAUAGAGAUUGACAAACUCGAUCGUCUGGCCCUAGAAUUUUCAACUAGAACCCCAGAGGAAUCUGGUACUGCUCAUGGAGCAGAACCACGUCUCUCUCCAUCAGCUCAGACCAGAACCC
rnacentral:lncRNA from 1 species